rnacentral:piRNA from 1 species
UGGGACAUAUUCUUGAAAAAUGAUGGCC